GACGAACGCUGGCGGCGUGCUUAACACAUGCAAGUCGAACGGAAAGGCCCUGCUUUUGUGGGGUGCUCGAGUGGCGAACGGGUGAGUAACACGUGAGUAACCUGCCCUUGACUUUGGGAUAACUUCAGGAAACUGGGGCUAAUACCGGAUAGGAGCUCCUGCUGCAUGGUGGGGGUUGGAAAGUUUCGGCGGUUGGGGAUGGACUCGCGGCUUAUCAGCUUGUUGGUGGGGUAGUGGCUUACCAAGGCUUUGACGGGUAGCCGGCCUGAGAGGGUGACCGGCCACAUUGGGACUGAGAUACGGCCCAGACUCCUACGGGAGGCAGCAGUGGGGAAUAUUGCACAAUGGGCGGAAGCCUGAUGCAGCAACGCCGCGUGCGGGAUGACGGCCUUCGGGUUGUAAACCGCUUUCGCCUGUGACGAAGCGUGAGUGACGGUAAUGGGUAAAGAAGCACCGGCUAACUACGUGCCAGCAGCCGCGGUGAUACGUAGGGUGCGAGCGUUGUCCGGAUUUAUUGGGCGUAAAGGGCUCGUAGGUGGUUGAUCGCGUCGGAAGUGUAAUCUUGGGGCUUAACCCUGAGCGUGCUUUCGAUACGGGUUGACUUGAGGAAGGUAGGGGAGAAUGGAAUUCCUGGUGGAGCGGUGGAAUGCGCAGAUAUCAGGAGGAACACCAGUGGCGAAGGCGGUUCUCUGGGCCUUUCCUGACGCUGAGGAGCGAAAGCGUGGGGAGCGAACAGGCUUAGAUACCCCGGUAGUCCACGCUGUAAACGGUGGGUACUAGGUGUGGGGUCCAUUCCACGGGUUCCGUGCCGUAGCUAACGCUUUAAGUACCCCGCCUGGGGAGUACGGCCGCAAGGCUAAAACUCAAAGGAAUUGACGGGGCCCCGCACAAGCGGCGGAGCAUGCGGAUUAAUUCGAUGCAACGCGUAGAACCUUACCUGGGUUUGACAUGGAUCGGGAGUGCUCAGAGAUGGGUGUGCCUCUUUUGGGGUCGGUUCACAGGUGGUGCAUGGCUGUCGUCAGCUCGUGUCGUGAGAUGUUGGGUUAAGUCCCGCAACGAGCGCAACCCUUGUUCACUGUUGCCAGCACGUUAUGGUGGGGACUCAGUGGAGACCGCCGGGGUCAACUCGGAGGAAGGUGGGGAUGACGUCAAGCCAUCAUGCCCCUUAUGUCCAGGGCUUCACGCAUGCUACAAUGGCUGGUACAGAGAGUGGCGAGCCUGUGAGGGUGAGCGAAUCUCGGAAAGCCGGUCUCAGUUCGGAUUGGGGUCUGCAACUCGACCUCAUGAAGUCGGAGUCGCUAGUAAUCGCAGAUCAGCAACGCUGCGGUGAAUACGUUCCCGGG
rnacentral:rRNA from 1 species